GUCACCGUGGUGGAACGGCAUACACGGCAGGCUGAGAACCUGCGCGCGAUUCGCGCAUGAGGGUUCAACUCCCUCCGGUGGCA
rnacentral:tRNA from 1 species